rnacentral:piRNA from 1 species
UAACAACAGGGAGUCCCUAUAUACCCUU